UCCGCAGCAGCCGACAUCGUCUUCUUCCACCCUUUACCUCCGCAGCAGCCGUCGUCGUCUUCUUCCACCGUCGAACUCUGCACUAGUCGCUCGGUAGCUGGUGGAUGAGGAGCUCGAGCACGAGGAACGCUCGCACUAUAUUGUCGCCAUGCCUCCCGAUCGAGCGCCAACUCGUCAUCAUGCCUUUACAUCGAGCGCCGCCUCAUCGAAGAAGAAUUUUUUUUAACCGGCACAAAGUCAUGGAGGGAGAGGAGGAGCUGCACGGGGAAGUGAAGCAACACGAUGUCAUGGAGUAGGGAGAUGAGCUCAAUGACGCGACCCAGGU
rnacentral:lncRNA from 1 species